GAUGAAGAACGCAGCGAAAUGCGAUAAGUAGUGUGAAUUGCAGAAUUCAGUGAAUCAUCGAAUCUUUGAACGCACAUUGCGCCCCCUGGUAUUCCGGGGGGCAUGCCUGUCCGAGCGUCAUUGCUGCCCAUCAAGCACGGCUUGUGUGUUGGGUCCCGUCCCCCUCUCCCGGGGGACGGACCCGAAAGGCAGCGGCGGCACCGCGUCCGGUCCUCGAGCGUAUGGGGCUUUGUCACCCGCUCUUGUAGGCCCGGCCGGCGCUUGCCGACACCCAACCAUUUUUUUCAGGUUGACCUCGGAUCAGGUAGGGAUACCCGCUGAACUUAAGCAUAUCAAUAAGCGGAGGA
rnacentral:misc_RNA from 1 species